UACGGAGGGUGCAAGCGUUAUCCGGAUUCACUGGGUUUAAAGGGUGCGUAGGCGGAUUGGUAAGUCCGUGGUGAAAUCCCCAAGCUUAACUUGGGAACUGCCGUGGAUACUAUCAAUCUUGAAUAUCGUGGAGGUAAGCGGAAUAUGUCAUGUAGCGGUGAAAUGCGUAGAGAUCGGCAGGAACACCCAGGGGGAAACCAGUGGACUGGCACGGUGCUGACGCUCAGGUGCGAAAGCGUGGGGAGCGAACCGG
rnacentral:rRNA from 1 species